rnacentral:tRNA from 1 species
AGCUUUAUAUUCAAUAAUGAUUUUAAAUUGCAAAUUUAAAGGAAAAGUUUUACUUUUAAGGCUU